UGCCAGCCGCCGCGGUAAUACGGAGGGUGCGAGCGUUAAUCGGAAUUACUGGGCGUAAAGCGCACGCAGGCGGUUUGUUAAGCUAGAUGUGAAAGCCCCGGGCUUAACCUGGGAACUGCAGUUGAUACUGGCAGGCUGGAGUACGAGAGAGGGAGGUAGAAUUCCAUGUGUAGCGGUGAAAUGCGUAGAUAUAUGGAGGAAUACCAGUGGCGAAGGCGGCUCACUGGCUCGAUACUGACGCUGAGGUGCGAAAGCGUGGGGAGCAAACAGGAUUAGAUA
rnacentral:rRNA from 1 species